rnacentral:rRNA from 1 species
GACGUAGGGCGCGAGCGUUUGUCCGGAUUUAUUGGGCGUAAAGCGAGUGUAGGUGGUUGUCCAAGUUGGAUGUGAAAGCCUUGAGUUCAACUCAAGAAAUGCAUUCAGGACUGGAUGACUAGAGGACCGGAGAGGAUAGUGGAAUUCCCAGUGUAGUGGUGAAAUACGUAGAUAUUGGGAAGAACACCAGUGGCGAAGGCGGCUAUCUGGACGGUUUCUGACACUAAGACUCGAAAGCGUGGGGAGCAAACAGG